GCGGAAGUGGCGGAACUGGCAGACGCGUACGCUUCAGGAGCGUAUGGGCGAAAGUCCUUGGGGGUUCGACUCCCCCCUUCCGCACCA
rnacentral:tRNA from 1 species